UACGUAGGCAGCAAGCGUUGUUCGGAAUUACUGGGCGUAAAGAGUGUGUAGGCGGUGCUCUAAGUUCGGUGUGAAAUCUCCCGGCUCAACUGGGAGGGUGCGCCGGAAACUGGAGUGCUGGAGCGCGGGAGAGGAAAGCGGAAUUCCUGGUGUAGCGGUGAAAUGCGUAGAUAUCAGGAGGAACACCGGCGGUGUGGACGGCUUUCUGGACCGUAGCUGACCGCUGAGACACGAAAAGCG
rnacentral:rRNA from 1 species